rfam:Brachypodium distachyon strain Bd21 chromosome 2, whole genome shotgun sequence.
GAUGUAUUUUCUCCGUCCAACAAAAGAUGUCUCAACUUUGACUAAAUUUGAAUGCAUUUAUACACUAAGUCAUGUCUAGAUACAUCCAAAUUUUGACAAACUUGAGACAUCUUUUGGUGGACCGAGGAAGUAUGUC